rnacentral:sRNA from 1 species
AAAUGCGAGCUAUGGGUCCUUUUUUCUAAUACUUGCAGAAGAUUUCAGCCCCGGCCACGAUGUUUGCUGUCAGCGGAUGGAAAAGUCUUCCUCAAUUUAUGGUUCAUACCCCAUUCUUCUGAAGUGCUGGUUAUAUUCAAAACUCUGCCAGAAAAGGCAGCUUUUAAAGCCUUAAAGCGAACUCUACAGCUGAUAGCUCCUCUGCAUGAUAUCGUGGCCUACCUUGUCAGUUUUGCUAAGCUUGGCAAUUGUCCAGCAUGUUUUGAAUUUCCUGUAAGUCCCAACCCUUCAAGAGGUGACUGGGGAGGAACUGAGGGCAUUGGGUCUGAGCUUCAAGAGCUGCAGAACAUGAUUGACAGCCUCCGGAGUCCCCAAGACCCUACCCGUGUGGCCCAGGCACUCCUCCUCCGGAGGGAGGUUAUGUUUUUGCAUUUUGACACUGCAGUAAGGCAUCUCAUCCGAAGAACAUUUUUGGCAGCUGGAAAUGUUCCUGCCUACCAGUCUGUCACAGACGGCAUGUGCCAUGGGCUACCAGCACUGAGCAACUCUCUCAGGAAGAGCAUUUUUGCCUCGCAGCUCAGCCUGCCCCAGCCACUGGAUCCACGGAGCCUCCAGGCAUUUGAGCUGUUUCCUUGGAGAGCAUUUCUGGAAGAUGGAGGACCAUUCCCAGUUAUGAGUAGCAGCCCAGAUACCCUAGAAUAUAAUAUGCAGGUAGGAUAGGUCUUCUCCAUUGUUGCAGAGAGAACUGAGUGCCAACUGCGAAGAUGGUUGCCAUUGGGUUCACAGGUCAGAUCCUCCUACUCUCACCCACAAUGAAUAAUGUGUGAGAUAAGCAGGGUGUUUGAUUUUUGAGGCUGUAAACCCGGGGCCACGAGGUGAGUCACAUUUUCUUAUGAUAAAAGGGAAGCAUGCUCUCAACUGGCAUGGACCUGGGUUGUAGACUCAGCUGCAGUUUUCGUAACAGUAGUAAUCUGGGAGAAUGGCCAGUCAUCUCCAGUCAUGGGCUGGGCCUCUUAGAGACACUUCCAGGCUGGCGGCUCAGAGAUGUGUCCUGUCCAUAAACAGUGGUGGGAAGGGAACUUUUUAAAGCAGGACUCGUAGGGAGAAUUUCUUUUCAUUGUUUUCUUUUUUGCUGUUAACUUCCUUUAAAUUGUUAGAUUUUUUCAUUAUUAAAUGUUUUCCCCUGAUUAU